rnacentral:rRNA from 1 species
GACGUAGGGCGCGAGCGUUGUCCGGAUUUAUUGGGCGUAAAGAGCUCGUAGGCGGUGUGUCACGUCGUUCGUGAAAACCUGCAGCUUAACUGUGGGCGUGCGGUCGAUACGGGCAUCACUGGAGUUCGGCAGGGGAGACUGGAAUUCCUGGUGUAGCGGUGGAAAUGCGCAGAUAUCAGGAGGAACACCGGUGGCGAAGGCGGGUCUCUGGGCCGAUACUGACGCUGAGGAGCGAAAAGCGUGGGGAUCAAACAGG